CCAAAAGGCAAAAAUAAACUGUCAGGCCUCUGAGCCCAAGCCAAGCCAUCGCAUCCCCUGUGACUUGCUCGUAUAUGCCCAGAUGGCCUGAAGUAACUGAAGAAUCACAAAAGAAGUGAAAAGGCCCUGCCCUGCCUUAACUGAUGACAUUCCACCAUUGUGAUUUGUUCCUGCCCCACCUUAACUGAGUGAUUAACCCUGUGAAUUUCCUUCUCCUGGCUCAGAAGCUCCCCCACUGAGCACUUUGUGACCCCUCGCCCCUGCCCACCAGAGCACAACCCCCUUUGACUGUAAUUUUCCAUUACCUUCCCAAAUCCUAUAAAACGGCCCCACCCCUAUCUCCCUUCGCUGACUCUCUUUUCAGACUCAGCCCGCCUGCACCCAGGUGAAACAAACAGCCAUGUUGCUCACACAAAGCCUGUUUGGUGGUCUCUUCACACGGACGCGCAUGAAAUGUGGCGCAUGAAAUUUGGUGCCGUGACUCUGAUCGGGGGACCUCCCUUGGGAGAUCAAUCCCCCGUCCUCCUGCUCUUUGCUCUGUGAGAAAGAUCCACGUAUGACCUCAGGUCCUCAGACUGACCAGCCCAAGAAACAUCUCACCAAUUUCAAAUCCGGACCCCAGUGGAAAUCGGACUGUUCAACUCACCUGGCAGCCACUCCCAGAGCCCCUGGAACUCUCGCCCAAGGCUCUCUGACUGACUCCUUGGCUUAGCGGCUGAAGACUGACGCUGCCUGAUUGAUUGCCUCGGAAGCCCCGUAGACCAUCACAGAUGCCGAGCUUUAGGCAGGAAUGUCAGGCCUCUGAGCCCAAGCCAAACCAUCGCAUCCCCUGUGACUUGCACGUAUACGCCCAGAUGGCCUGAAGUAACUGAAGAAUCACAAAAGAAGUGAAAAGGCCCUGCCCUGCCUUAACUGAUGACAUUCCACCAUUGUGAUUUGUUCCUGCCCCACCUUAACUGAGUGAUUAACCCUGUGAAUUUCCUUCUCCUGGCUCAGAAGCUCCCCCACUGAGCACUUUGUGACCCCCCCCGCCCCUGCCCACCAGAGCACAACCCCCUUUGACAGUAAUUUUCCAUUACCUUCCCAAAUCCUAUAAAACGGCCCCAUCCCUAUCUCCCUUCGCUCUCUUUUCCGACUCAGCCCGCCUGCACCCAGGUGAAAUAAACAGCCAUGUUGCUCACACAAAGCCUGUUUGGUGGUCUCUUCACACGGACGCACAUGAAAUAAACAAAUAAAGAAAAUGAAAGAAAAACAGGACAGACACAGUGGGUCACGCCUGUAAUCCCAGCACUUUGGGAGGCCGAGACAGAUGGAUCACCUGAGGUCAGGAGUUCGAGACCGUCCUGGUCAACAUGGUGAAACCUCGUCUCUACUAAAAUACAAAAAAUUAGCCAGGCGUGGUGUCGUGCACCUAGUCCCAGCUACUCGGGAGGCUGAGGCAGGGGAAUCACUUGAACCCGGGAGGCGGAGAUUGCAGUGAGCAGAGAUUGCGCCAUUGCACUCCAGCCUGGGUGACAGAGCGAGACUUCAUCUCAAAAAGAAAAAAAAGAGGCUGGGCGUGGUGGCUCACGCCUGUAAUCCCGGCACUUUGGGAGGCUGAGGCGGGUGGAUCACGAGGUCAGGAGAUUGAGACCAUCCUGGCUAACACGGUGAAACCCCGUCUCUACUAAAAAUACAAAAAAAAAAUUAGCUGGACGUGGUGGUGGGCUCCUGUAGUCCCAGCUACUGGGGAGC